rnacentral:lncRNA from 1 species
GUCACACAUAUAAUAGUUGGCGAGUUUAUUUAUUAAUAUUAGUUUUUGUGAUAGAUAGUUGUAGUUUAGUGCAUGAAUAGAUAUAAUAAUAAGCAAACAUUCACUUCCCAACGUUUAUAGAAACUAGUUAACAGGUCUCUGAAGACGGUAAUGUAACCGAAACUAGUAAGACAAAUAUAUAAAUAAUCACCAUA